CCCAUUCGCUCAUCAAUCAUCUCGCGAUCUCGAUUGUGAGACCUUUUCUCUUCUUCUCUUCGUUCAUGUUCCUUCUUACGAUCAAUCAAUUCUCUCCCCACUCCUGAUUGCUCCUUAAUCGUAUAGUUAAUGGAAUCUCUUCGAUUUCUCAUUCUGAACUCUAUGGAACGUUUCGGUUUGAUUCCUGUUAGAUCCUAUAUAAAUAUCUCCUUAGGUUUUAGUUUUUCUCCAAACAAUUGUUCAAUCCUCUCGACUGCUCAUUACGAUGACGUUAUCCGACUCACAGAAAAUGAUCGGCGAAUCCGUGGUCUCCUCCGGUCCGGUCAAACCCGUCGAUCAGACAAGGCUUCUGGGCCAAUAAUAAUUCUUAGUGGUCCCACUUGAACCCCAUCUCAAAAAACCUAUAAACUCCGAUGAGAGCGAUUAUCGAUCGACUUCUCUUCGUCGUCGUUUGGAAUCACAGCAAUUCACCGUUAUCAGAUACCCUUUUUGGUUUAGCUUGAUGGGUUGUGAUUAAAUUCUCAAGCUUUUGGCUUCCAUGAGCUUCGUGUACUGUUUUUUUUUCUGCUUUGUUGUUUUCUUGUUGCUGUUACAGUUUGUUCAUUGGAACUUGGAUUAAGGACAGUCUCAUGAGACAUUACUUCUUCAGUGCAUGAGCUCUCUGGGUUUUUUCUUUCUUGAACGUUUCAUAGUUCUCUUAAGCUUUGUUUUUGUUUUUCUUUAAGCUGAUUCUUGGUAGUAUGUUGAUUUGCUAGAUAACAAUGAAAGUCACAAGAAGCAAGAACGUCCAGAUUCCCAAACCCCACCACCGACCGGCUCCUUCAGGACCGUGUUCUGAAUCUACAAGCUCCGUCUACUCUGAGCCGAUGAUUCGAUGUGGCAUCAAUAGACUGAGAACUCAAGUGGUGCUAUUGGAGCUAGGCUUUCUGCUGAUGUUGCCACGGAUUGUGGUUUAAAGACGAGAAUGAACGAGGAAACAAGCCUAGAAGCGGACAUGAGUAUAAGAACCGCUCCUUCAUUCUCAGGAGAAAGUGAUGAAAACAUAUAUGAAGAAAUCUGCAAUGUUCUACAAAAGCAAGAAUACUUCAAAACAUAGUUAGUGCUUUGGUUUGAGAGAGCGGAAUCAGGAAAGCAACAGUAACUGAGCUGCUGUUGAAGUUUUGCAAUCCUGGAUGAGGUCAACACUUUUGACGGAUUGGAGAUUAGUACCUUCAGCUGGAAUGGCCAGCACAGCAAACCGGUAUGGGCUAUGAUCAUUGGUGGGUGAAAAAGGAGUUCAAUGAUCAGGCGGUCAUAAGUUGAGAGUGGCCAUAGUCAGAUAAAAUUUUGAACACCCUCCGCUGUUGCUGCUGAAUGAAGCAACAAUUGCUUUGAUGCUUAGUCAGUGUGUGGUUCAAUAUACAGUGGACCGGAUCGUUGUUAACACAUCGGUUUUCAACAAUCAACUCUUAUUAUCAACAAUCAAGAACUCAUGUAUUUUUUAUUUAUUUAAUUAACUCAUGUAAUUAUAGUGGUUAAAAAUGGAGUCAACGUGGUGGAGAAAGGAAGGCAAGAGACUUAGAUAGAUAUAAAAGAUGGAGAAUUAUUUGA